rnacentral:rRNA from 1 species
UAAGGAAUAUUGGUCAAUGGAGGCAACUCUGAACCAGCCAUGCCGCGUGCAGGAAGAAGGCCCUAUGGGUCGUAAACUGCUUUUGAACAAGAGAAAACCCCGGUACGUGUACUGGGUUGAUAGUAUUGUUAGAAUAAGCAUCGGCUAACUUCGUGCCAGCAGCCGCGGUAAGACGAAUGAUGCAAGCGUUAUCCGGAUUCAUUGGGUUUAAAGGGUGCGUAGGCGGACUGAUAAGUCAGUGGUGAAAUCUCUCGGCUUAACCGNGAAACUGCCAUUGAUACUGUUAGUCUAGAGUACAGAUGAUGUGGGCGGAAUAUGACAUGUAGUGGUGAAAUACUUAGAUAUGUCAUAGAACACCGAUUGCGAAGGCAGCUCACAAAACUGUAACUGACGCUGAGGCACGAAAGUGCGGGGAUCAAACAGGAUUAGAUACCCAAGUAGUCCCUGAGCGGGCUGGCAAGGCGCAU